AGUAGUCAUAUGCUUGUCUCAAAGAUUAAGCCAUGCAUGUCUCAGUGCAAGCCACAUUAAGGUGAAACCGCGAAUGGCUCAUUAAAUCAGUUAUGGUUCCUUGGAUCCUACAAAUCCUACUUGGAUAACUGUGGUAAUUCUAGAGCUAAUACAUGCACCCAGAGCUCCGUCCAGAAAUGGCCGGGGCGCAGUUGUUAGAUCAAAACCAAUCGGUCGGGCUCGCCCGUCCGUAGUUUUGGUGACUCUGAAUAACCACCGCUGAUCGCACGGCCUCGCGCCGGCGACGUAUCCUUCGAAUGUCUGCCUUAUCAACUGUCGAUGGUAGGUUCUGCGCCUACCAUGGUUGUAACGGGUAACGGGGAAUCAGGGUUCGAUUCCGGAGAGGGAGCCUGAGAAACGGCUACCACAUCCAAGGAAGGCAGCAGGCGCGCAAAUUACCCACUCCCGGCACGGGGAGGUAGUGACGAAAAAUAACGAUACGGGACUCAUCCGAGGCCCCGUAAUCGGAAUGAGAACACUUUAAAUCUUUUAACGAGUACCUAAUGGAGGGCAAGUCUGGUGCCAGCAGCCGCGGUAAUUCCAGCUCCAUUGGCGUAUAU
rnacentral:rRNA from 1 species